GAAGCGGCAACAGACUUCAAAUUUGAAAUCCUGGCCCUUUCGGGGUCCGAGUUGUAAUUUGUAGAGAGUGUUUCGGGUGAGACCACGGUCUAAGUCCAUUGGAACAUGGCGUCAUAGAGGGUGAGAAUCCCGUAUGUGACUGUGGAUCGAGCCCAUGUGAAGCCUCUUCGACGAGUCGAGUUGUUUGGGAAUGCAGCUCAAAAUGGGUGGUAAAUUUCAUCUAAAGCUAAAUACUGGCUGGAGACCGAUAGCGCACAAGUAGAGUGAUCGAAAGAUGAAAAGCACUUUGGAAAGAGAGUCAAACAGUACGUGAAAUUGUUGAAAGGGAAGCGCUUGCAACCAGACCUGUCCGUAGGUGAUCAGCCGCUGUUCUCAGUGGUGCACUCGCUCUGCGAUCAGGCCAGCAUCGGUUCGGGCGGUCGGAUAAAGGCCUUGGGAAUGUAGCUCCCUUCGGGGAGUCUUAUAGCCCUCGGUGCAAUGCGGCCAGCCGGGACCGAGGACCGCGCUUCGGCUAGGAUGCUGGCGUAAUGGUUGUAAGCGACCCGUCUUGAAACACGGACCAAGGAGUCUAACAUCUAUGCGAGUGUUUGGGUGUUAAACCCAUGCGCGGAAUGAAAGUGAACGGAGGUGAGAACCCUUAAGGGCGCAUCAUCGACCGAUCCAGAUGUCUUCGGAUGGAUUUGAGUAUGAGCAUAGCUGUUGGGACCCGAAAGAUGGUGAACUAUGCCUGAAUAGGGUGAAGCCAGAGGAAACUCUGGUGGAGGCUCGCAGCGGUUCUGACGUGCAAAUCGAUCGU
rnacentral:rRNA from 1 species